rnacentral:rRNA from 1 species
GACGAACGCUGGCGGCGUGCUUAACACAUGCAAGUCGAACGGAAAGGCCCUGCUUUUGUGGGGUGCUCGAGUGGCGAACGGGUGAGUAACACGUGAGUAACCUGCCCUUGACUUUGGGAUAACUUCAGGAAACUGGGGCUAAUACCGGAUAGGAGCUCCUGCUGCAUGGUGGGGGUUGGAAAGUUUCGGCGGUUGGGGAUGGACUCGCGGCUUAUCAGCUUGUUGGUGGGGUAGUGGCUUACCAAGGCUUUGACGGGUAGCCGGCCUGAGAGGGUGACCGGCCACAUUGGGACUGAGAUACGGCCCAGACUCCUACGGGAGGCAGCAGUGGGGAAUAUUGCACAAUGGGCGGAAGCCUGAUGCAGCGACGCCGCGGGCGGGAUGACGGCCUGCGGGUUGUAAACCGCUUUCGCCUGUGACGAAGCGUGAGUGACGGUAAUGGGUAAAGAAGCACCGGCUAACUACGUG